rnacentral:lncRNA from 1 species
GUAACAGGGAAAAUUUGGAACUGGUCAUUGCUGUUGCAAGAAUGAGAAGUGUAACAAGUGGAUAAGAGAGGAAAGAAGUUCGGGUAACCAGCAGAUGCAGAGUUUAAGUACGGUGCCGACUACGUAAGACCUCAUUACAGCACAGCAGCAAGAGUUAACAGCUGUCCCCUGAACAUCAAGUCUUGCCCAGAAGGACACAGGCCCCGCUCCUCCUGUACGUGCAGACCUUCUUCCAGGCUCCCCUGUCCAUGUGUUUCUGCCACGGCUCACAAAAGCAGGCGUUCUGAGCACCAACGGGG